rnacentral:rRNA from 1 species
GAGUUUGAUCAUGGCUCAGAUUGAACGCUGGCGGCAUGCCUUACACAUGCAAGUCGAACGGUAACAGGUCUUCGGAUGCUGACGAGUGGCGAACGGGUGAGUAAUACAUCGGAACGUGCCCAAUCGUGGGGGAUAACGCAGCGAAAGCUGUGCUAAUACCGCAUACGAUCUACGGAUGAAAGCAGGGGAUCGCAAGACCUUGCGCGAAUGGAGCGGCCGAUGGCAGAUUAGGUAGUUGGUGAGGUAAAGGCUCACCAAGCCUUCGAUCUGUAGCUGGUCUGAGAGGACGACCAGCCACACUGGGACUGAGACACGGCCCAGACUCCUACGGGAGGCAGCAGUGGGGAAUUUUGGACAAUGGGCGAAAGCCUGAUCCAGCCAUGCCGCGUGCAGGAUGAAGGCCUUCGGGUUGUAAACUGCUUUUGUACGGAACGAAACAGUCUUUUCUAAUACAGAAGGCUAAUGACGGUACCGUAAGAAUAAGCACCGGCUAACUACGUGCCAGCAGCCGCGGUAAUACGUAGGGUGCAAGCGUUAAUCGGAAUUACUGGGCGUAAAGCGUGCGCAGGCGGUUAUGUAAGACAGUUGUGAAAUCCCCGGGCUCAACCUGGGAACUGCAUCUGUGACUGCAUAGCUAGAGUACGGUAGAGGGGGAUGGAAUUCCGCGUGUAGCAGUGAAAUGCGUAGAUAUGCGGAGGAACACCGAUGGCGAAGGCAAUCCCCUGGACCUGUACUGACGCUCAUGCACGAAAGCGUGGGGAGCAACAGGAUUAGAUACCCUGGUAGUCCACGCCCUAAACGAUGUCAAC